rnacentral:rRNA from 1 species
UUGAACGCUGGCGGCAUGCUUUACACAUGCAAGUCGAACGGUAACAGGCCUUCGGGUGCUGACGAGUGGCGAACGGGUGAGUAAUGCAUCGGAACGUACCCAGAGGUGGGGGAUAACGCAGCGAAAGCUGUGCUAAUACCGCAUGUGAUCUGAGGAUGAAAGCGGGGGACCGAGCAGCAAUGUUUGGCCUCGCGCCUUUGGAGCGGCCGAUGUCGGAUUAGCUAGUUGGUGGGGUAAAGGCCUACCAAGGCGACGAUCCGUAGCUGGUCUGAGAGGACGACCAGCCACACUGGGACUGAGACACGGCCCAGACUCCUACUGGAGGCAGCAGUGGGGAAUUUUGGACAAUGGGCGCAAGCCUGAUCCAGCAAUGCCGCGUGCGGGAAGAAGGCCUUCGGGUUGUAAACCGCUUUUGGCAGGAACGAAACGGUGUCCGCUAAUACCGGGCGCUAAUGACGGUACCUGCAGAAUAAGCACCGGCUAACUACGUG